AGUUGCAUGAAGGUAUUUCUGAUACAUCUAAAAUCCUUUCAACAGGUACCAGCUACCAUUUUUGAGACCAAGUUUCUUGUGUUUUUUUUCCCCUUAUACCUUCAUCUACACCAAGAAAUGGUUCUGCUAUUCCCAAUUGCCUUUUUAUUUGGGAAAUCAGUGAUGGUAGGCAGGGUAAGCAAAAGGCUGUGGAUUGUUGUUUUGUUGUUUUAAAUUCACAAGUUUUUUUCUUUUGUUAGGUACUCUUUAUUGUGUUUUUUUAGAUUCAAGAUUUCUGUAAGAGCUCUUUUUGGGGGAAGGGCGGAGUUGAUCAAUUUUGCUAACUAACCAAAUAAUUACUUUUUAGGGAGACCUGAUUUUUCCUUCUCUUUCUCUUUCUCUUUCUCUUUCUCUUUCUCUUUCUCUUUCUCUUUCUCUUUCUCUUUCUCUCUCUCUCUCUCUUUCUCUUUCGCUCUCUCUUUCUCUUUCUCUCUCUCUCUCUCUCUCUCUCUCUCUCCUUCUUCUCUCUCUCUCUCUCUCUUUCUCCUCUCUCCUUUCUCCUUCUCUCUCCUUCUCUCUCUUCCUCUUCCUCUCCCCCCUCUCUCUCUUUCUCUCUUUCUCUCUCUCUCUGUCCCUUUCCCUUCCCCUCCCUCCACUAUUCUGCUACUUUCUGUGUUGUUACUUGCCUAAUUUUUGUUGAUUUAGUAUAUAAAUCAGAGUUGACUUAUUUUCUGUCAGCAUUUGAAAAUUGUCUUCAUGUGUAUAUAGUUUCCAUCAAGAAAUCUGUUGUAAUUUUUAUUUUCCCGUUUGAUGUGUCAUGCACAUUAAGAUCUCUCUAUCUGUAGUUAGCUUUUUAGGCAAAUUUUAUACUUUGGAAUAUUCUGCUUGGAAAUUUUCUGGUUUUUGCAUUUUUUAAAAAAGCUUUCAGCAGGGUAGUGGUGGCACACACCUUUAAUCCUAGCACUUGAGGGGCAGAGGGGCAGAGGGGCAGAGCGGCAGAGCGGCAGAGGGACAGAGGCAGAGGCAUCUCUGUUAGUUCAAGGCCAGCCUGGUCUAUAGUGCAUGUUCCAGGUUUCUC
rnacentral:lncRNA from 1 species